AUGGAAUUGAGACCGGCCAGGGCAUCCCCCUCCGGCCCUUGGGAUGUGCCCAGAGGUGGGGCUGCAGGGGCACUUUCCCCGUGCCGUUUGGGGCAGGAGAGCAAGCCCCCUAUCCACCCAUCCAUCUGUCUGUCCGUCCAUCCGUCCCUGCAUUGCUACCCCACCGAACCAGCAUGCCCCAGCCCCAAUUCACCCCCCCCUCCCCAAAAUUUGCCACCCCACUCCUCACGUGGGGGCUCUCCGGGGGGGGGUUCAUCCCACCGCGGCGUGCGUGCCACCGCGGAGAUGUGUGAGCGGAGAGGGCUGUCCCCAUCCCCAGCAGCCACGGCCGGACUGGGACGAGCCCCUGGCUGUGGUGUGACCCCUCUUGUGCCCCGUCCCGGCUACCCCGAAGCAGCCCGAGGUGGCCAUCGCCGUCCCCGUCCUCGUCCCCAUGCCGGGGAGGCCGCUCCGCGCGGCGUCCCGCUGGCCUCCGUGUUUUCCCUGCAGCCUUUUGUGUGCGUGGCGGCGUGGCGGCGCACGGGGAGGCCGCAUGGCGCCCGGCCUUCCCCACCUCCGUCCUCCUCCUCCUCCUCCCCCCGAUCCCCGCCUCCCCGGCCGCCAUUUCGCAGCGCCGGCCUCGCUCGCUCUCCACAUCAUGGAGGACCAGCGCGGGGGGGAAACAAAGAGCCCCGGCCUGCGUCGGUGCCCCCGGCCCAGGCGCCCCCACGUCCCCUCCCGACGCGCGGCGCUGCAGCGAGCCGUGCCCGCGUGCGAGGAGUUUGCUCGGGCCUCAGCCUCGUGGCAAAGCUGCGGCGCUCCCUCCUGUGUCCCCCCCGCCAGCCCACGGGGCUCAUCCUGCCCCGGUGCGGGGUCCUGUGGUGUCCCCGAGGGACGCGGCACGUGCACGGGGAGAAAGGGUGCGUGUGCACGCGUGUGCGGGACUCCAGGCGCUCGUGGGGCAGUUUGUGUGCACACACGCGUGAGAUGGGGGUGUGUGCACGCGUGUGUGAUCACGCACGCACAUGCACAGAUGGCAGCCAGCGCGUGUGA
rnacentral:lncRNA from 1 species